GGACUUCCGGGUUCUCAGACAUCUUGUGAGAGCGGUUCUGUGCUUACUUAUGCCUUAUUCUCUACCUACCUACAAUCGGACUAGUGUUCUGACCCGAGGGCUUCUGGGCAGACCAGCAGGGUGACUCGAUUCCAGAGUGGGGGGGGUCAAGAGUGGGCUACAUGCUCAGCGCAGCUAAACCCAGGUUUGGACUGAGAUUUCUCAUUUCUUCCCGGCAUGCAGAACUCGCCAAUUUGCUUUGCACUGCAAACCGCUCCUGGAUCCUCCUGUAAGCCUGGCGCCCAGCCGCGUCUCUCAUUGACAGAAAGGACACACUAGCCUGCGCUGGCGUUCCGAGGAGGGUAGGGAAUGACAAGCAUUAACAUGCUGUGGCUCCAAUGGGGACAGAGAAAAAGCUGUGCGCGCUGACCGCAGAGAGGCAGGCUGUCGGCUCAGGCCUGGCGAGAAAGGGCCAGCCCACUGCGUUGGGUUGGUACCAAAUGGACCUGGCACUCGGGAAUACAUUGGACUGAUGCUGCAUAUCUACAGUUGGCAGUUUACAGCCGUGAGCUUUCCUUCAGACCAAAUGACCGGAGGGACCAGUGGCGAGGGAACAACUUGCCAGGUGGGCCACCCUCACUUUUGAGCGAGCGUGUGGCAGGAUCGGGAGGCAUUUAGAGAGGGGCGAAAGUCCUCUGUCCAGCCAGAGGCGGCAGAGGUCUCAGUGGAAGGCUGUGUCUGUCUACAGCUUCCAUCUGUGGAAACCAUGGAUAACAAACCACCCCUAUGUGCCUCUCUCAGAGAAGUCAGGUUGGCACUUCGAAAUCACCUACCAGAGUGCUUGAAGCAGGGAAUUUGGCAGAU